rnacentral:rRNA from 1 species
CCUACGGGGGGCUGCAGUGGGGAAUAUUGCACAAUGGGCGCAAGCCUGAUGCAGCCAUGCCGCGUGUGUGAAGAAGGCCUUCGGGUUGUAAAGCACUUUCAGCGGGGAGGAAGGCGUUAAGGUUAAUAACCUUGUCGAUUGACGUUACCCGCAGAAGAAGCACCGGCUAACUCCGUGCCAGCAGCCGCGGUAAUACGGAGGGUGCAAGCGUUAAUCGGAAUUACUGGGCGUAAAGCGCACGCAGGCGGUCUGUCAAGUCGGAUGUGAAAUCCCCGGGCUCAACCUGGGAACGGCAUUCGAACCCGGCAGGCUAGAGUCUGGUAGAGGGGGGGAGAAUUCCAGGUGUAGGGGUGAAAUGCGUAGAGAGCUGGAGGAAUACCGGUGGCGAAGGCGGCCCCCUGGACAAAGACUGACGCUCAGGUGCGAAAGCGUGGGGAGCAAACAGGAUUAGAUACCCGGUAGUC